GGAUAGCUGACAGAAAUAAUGUGUUUAGUUUAGGUCUAAAAAAUGGGCCAUUACAGCUCGCUAUCUU
rnacentral:tRNA from 1 species